rnacentral:rRNA from 1 species
GACGUAGGGUGCAAGCGUUGUCCGGAUUUAUUGGGCGUAAAGAGCUCGUAGGCGGCUUGUUGCGUCGACUGUGAAAACCCGCGGCUUAACCGCGGGCUUGCAGUCGGUACGGGCAGGCUAGAGUCCGGAAGAGGAGAGUGGAAUUCCUGGUGUAGCGGUGAAAUGCGCAGAUAUCAGGAAGAACACCCGUGGCGAAGGCGGCUCUCUGGGACGGUACUGACGCUGAGACGCGAAAGCGUGGGGAGCGAACAGG